AGCGAACGCUGGCGGCAGGCCUAACACAUGCAAGUCGAACGAACCUUUCGGGGUUAGUGGCGGCCGGGUGUGUAACACGUGGGAACGUGCCUUUAGGUUCGGCAUAACUCAGGGAAACUUGUGCUAAUACCGAAUGUGCCCUUCGGGGGAAAGAUUAAUCGCCUUUAGAGCGGCCCGCGUCUGAUUAGCUAGUUGGUUGAGGUAAUGGCUCACCAAGGCGACGAUCAGUAGCUGGUCUGAGAGGAUGAUCAGCCACAUUGGGACUGAGACACGGCCCAAACUCCUACGGGAGGCAGCAGUGGGGAAUCUUGCGCAAUGGGCGAAAGCCUGACGCAGCCAUGCCGCGUGAAUGAUGAAGGUCUUAGGAUUGUAAAAUUCUUUCACCGGGGACGAUAAUGACGGUACCCGGAGAAGAAGCCCCGGCUAACUUCGUG
rnacentral:rRNA from 1 species